rnacentral:rRNA from 1 species
GACGAACGCUGGCGGCGCGCUUAACACAUGCAAGUCGAACGGAAAGGCCUGCUUUCCCUUGUGGAUUGCGGGUACUCGAGUGGCGAACGGGUGAGUAACACGUGAGUGAUCUGCCCCCAACUUGGGUAUAAGCCUGGGAAACUGGGUCUAAUUCCCGAUAGGACUGCAGGGUGGUGCCUGUGGUGGAACACGAUUUUCUAGUGGUUGGGGAUGAGCUCGCGGCCUAUCAGCUUGUUGGUGGGGUAAUGGCCUACCAAGGCGGCGACGGGUAGCCGGCCUGAGAGGGUGGACGGCCACAUUGGGACUGAGAUACGGCCCAGACUCCGACGGGAGGCAGCAGUGGGGAAUAUUGCACAAUGGGCGGAAGCCUGAUGCAGCGACGCCGCGUGGGGGAUGACGGCCUUCGGGUUGUAAACUCCUUUCGACCGCGAGGAAGCCACCUGGUUGGAAGGGUGGUGACGGUAGUGGUAGAAGAAGCACCGGCUAACUACGUG